AAGAUUCUGUCACAGACUAUGUGCCUCCUCCAAACGCAUGCUCCAUUUUCUCUCUGGAAUGGGCUUCUCCCCUUCCUGCUCUACAGACAUUCUACUUAUCCUUUAUCCUUCAGAGCACGUCCAAAUGCCUCUUCCCUAAUCCCCACCUUCCCCUGGCCCUAGCAGAAUCAGUUACUCCCACUGGCCUUUGUUUGCACUUCCAUUACAACAUUGAUCCCUCUGGAUUACAAAUCAUUGUGUGUGCUGUCUUUCCCACAAGAUGACCAGCUCCUUGAGGACAGGGAGUCUGUUACUCAUUUGAGGGUUCCCAAAGCCCAGUGAUAAUAGCCUGCUACAGAGUAGACAUUUCAGUGUAUGUUGCUGAAUUCUACUGAAAGGAUUUACAGAAACUCAAGGUAGUGAUUUUCGACAACUGUUCACUUUGGUGUGCACAACAGACGAAGAAAAUGAAGGAAAGAGGAUUCGAAUCCAGAAGUCUCCUAUCCCAUUAUUCUACAAGGAGUGUUGGUGAUUGCACUGAAAUGCCAUUUUUAAAGAAAGAAGGGCUUCUGGACUGAAAACUGGGGCAAUGUAGGGACUGUAACCACAUAAUAGCUGCUGGUCAGUGCAUCCAUCCAAAUGGAACAAAGUACAAAAGCCACCCUGUCCCCAAAGUAAGCUUUAGAAGUGCCAGAGAAA